UACGGAGGGUGCAAGCGUUGUUCGGAAUCACAGGGCGUAAAGCGCGUGUAGGCGGUUUGAUAAGUCGAAUGUGAAAGCCCGAGGCUCAACCUCGGAAGUGCAUUCGAAACGGUCAGGCUUGAGUACGGGAGAGGGAAGUGGAAUUCCUGGUGUAGAGGUGAAAUUCGUAGAUAUCAGGAGGAACACCGGUGGCGAAGGCGGCUUCCUGGACCGAUACUGACGCUGAGACGCGAAAGCGUGGGGAGCAAACAGG
rnacentral:rRNA from 1 species